UACGUAGGGUGCAAGCGUUAAUCGGAAUUACUGGGCGUAAAGCGUGCGCAGGCGGUUUUGUAAGUCUGUCGUGAAAGCCCCGGGCUCAACCUGGGAAUUGCGAUGGAGACUGCAAGGCUUGAAUCUGGCAGAGGGGGGUAGAAUUCCACGUGUAGCAGUGAAAUGCGUAGAGAUGUGGAGGAACACCGAUGGCGAAGGCAGCCCUCUGGGCCAACACUGACGCUCAGGCACGAAAGCGUGGGGAGCAAACAGG
rnacentral:rRNA from 1 species